UACACUCCUGCGGGAGGCAGCAGUGGGGAAUAUUGCACAAUGGGCGCAAGCCUGAUGCAGCCAUGCCGCGUGUAUGAAGAAGGCCUUCGGGUUGUAAAGUACUUUCAGCGGGGAGGAAGGCGAUAAGGUUAAUAACCUUGUCGAUUGACGUUACCCGCAGAAGAAGCACCGGCUAACUCCGUGCCAGCAGCCGCGGUAAUACGGAGGGUGCAAGCGUUAAUCGGAAUUACUGGGCGUAAAGCGCACGCAGGCGGUCUGUCAAGUCGGAUGUGAAAUCCCCGGGCUCAACCUGGGAACUGCAUUCGAAACUGGCAGGCUAGAGUCUUGUAGAGGGGGGUAGAAUUCCAGGUGUAGCGGUGAAAUGCGUAGAGAUCUGGAGGAAUACCGGUGGCGAAGGCGGCCCCCUGGACAAAGACUGACGCUCAGGUGCGAAAGCGUGGGGAGCAAACAGGAUUAGAUACCCUAGUAGUCCCAU
rnacentral:rRNA from 1 species